UUCGGUUUGGGUGGCGGACGGGUGAGUAACGCGUAAAGAACUUGCCUCACAGUUAGGGACAACAUUUGGAAACGAAUGCUAAUACCUGAUAUUAUGAUUUUAGGGCAUCCUAAGAUUAUGAAAGCUAUAAGCGCUGUGAGAGAGCUUUGCGUCCCAUUAGCUAGUUGGAGAGGUAACGGCUCACCAAGGCGAUGAUGGGUAGCCGGCCUGAGAGGGUGAACGGCCACAAGGGGACUGAGACACGGCCCUUACUCCUACGGGAGGCAGCAGUGGGGAAUAUUGGACAGUGGACCAAAAGUCUGAUCCAGCAAUUCUGUGUGCACGAUGACGUUUUUCGGAAUGUAAAGUGCUUUCAGUUGGGAAGAAAAAAAUGACGGUACCAACAGAAGAAGUGACGGCUAAAUACGUGCCAGCAGCCGCGGUAAUACGUAUGUCACAAGCGUUAUCCGGAUCUAUUGGGCGUAAAGCGCGUCUAGGUGGUUAUGUAAGUCUGAUGUGAAAAUGCAGGGCUCAACUCUGUAUUGCGUUGGAAACUGCAUGACUAGAGUACUGGAGAGGUAAGCGGAACUACAAGUGUAGAGGUGAAAUUUGUAGAUAUUUGUAGGAAUGCCGAUGGGGAAGCCAGCUUACUGGACAGAUACUGACGCUAAAGCGCGAAAGCGUGGGUAGCAAACAGGAUUAGAUANCCUGGUAGUCCACGCCGUAAACGAUGAUACUAGGUGUUGGGGGUCGAACCUCAGCACCCAAGCUAACGCGAUAAGUAAUC
rnacentral:rRNA from 1 species